AGUGAGAGCAAAAAGCGGGCAGGUGCGCAUCUUUCAGCAGCGCUACUUGAAGCGGUGCGGUUCCUCAGCUAAGUAGGUUAAAGGUCCUCCCAAGAGGAGAAAGUAUGUGACAGACCUCUUGAAAACCGUAUUCUUCUACAGGGGUUUGCAUUCAUUCACAAUUAAUGUCGCUUGAUGGACGAAAUGAUGCUAAUAGGGCGCAAAAGAACAGAAUGUGGGCUUUAAAAAGGAUGCCAACCUAUAAUCUGACAGCUGGGAGAAAAAAUGAAGGGCAGAAGAAUUUUCUAUACUCUAACGCUAAAGUUUUUAGUAAUGUGGUUGAUGAGUUUGAGAGAAGUUGAGGCUAUAAGCAGGACAUCAGGACAGCUUGAUGUGGUUCCUUUUGUCUGGAAGGAUGUCAGCUCUCUGUGCCUGACCAUCUCUGAGGAUGCUUCACGUCAUCUUGUCUACCUGAUCAUUGCACUACCUGCUCUCCACUACAAUACUGCCGUCUCGCUGCUCUCCCACUUGAAAUGCUUGGCUGGCCCUUUCUUAUGAAGCCAUCAUAAAAAAGUGGAUGCCACGGCGAUCUGCAUUGUUCCUCCUCUCUCCUCUCUACAGACAGAAGUGUAGAAGCCAUAAAAAUAUUCCUUCAUGCUGAAGAAGACUGCUGUUGUUCUAUCAAUAGAAUAAAAGUAAACUGUUCUUUAAUACAAAAAAACUCAGUUCACACAGUCUUUAUUUAGGAAAUUGAUCUAUUUAUUCACAUUUAAAUGCAUAAAUGUGGAUGAAUUAUGUACAUCUAAAUAAAAACACUGUGAUAUGUAUGUUAUUAGUCUUUAAUAAAAGCCUUUCAGCAUUU